GCAUAUCAAUAGCGGAGGAAAAGAAACCAACAGGGAUUACCUCAGUAACGGCGAGUGAAGCGGUAACAGCUCAAAUUUGAAAGCUGGCUCUUUUAGGGUCCGCGUUGUAAUUUGUAGAAGAUGCUUCGGGUGUGGCCCCGGUCUAAGUUCCUUGGAACAGGACGUCAUAGAGGGUGAGAAUCCCGUAUGUGACUGGGUGCCUUCGCUCAUGUGAAGCUCUUUCGACGAGUCGAGUUGUUUGGGAAUGCAGCUCAAAAUGGGUGGUAAAUUUCAUCUAAAGCUAAAUAUUGGCCAGAGACCGAUAGCGCACAAGUAGAGUGAUCGAAAGAUGAAAAGCACUUUGGAAAGAGAGUUAAACAGUACGUGAAAUUGUUGAAAGGGAAGCGCUUGCAACCAGACUUGCGCGCUGAUGAUCAUCCGGGCUUCUGCCCGGUGCACUCGUCUGCGCUCAGGCCAGCAUCGGUUUCGGUGGUGGGAUAAAGGCCUUGGGAAUGUAGCUCCUCUCGGGGAGUGUUAUAGCCCUCGGUGCAAUGCCGCCUACUGGGACCGAGGACCGCGCUUCGGCUAGGAUGCUGGCGUAAUGGUUGUAAGCGACCCGUCUUGAAACACGGACCAAGGAGUCUAACAUCUAUGCGAGUGUUUGGGUGUCAAACCCAUACGCGUAAUGAAAGUGAACGGAGGUGAGAACCCUUAAGGGUGCAUCAUCGACCGGUCCUGAUGUCUUCGGAUGGAUCUGAGUAAGAGCAUAGCUGUUGGGACCCGAAAAGAUGGUGAACUAUGCGUGAAUAGGGUGAAGCCAGAGGAAAACUCUGGUGGAGGCUCGCAGCGGUUUCUGACGUGCAAAUCGAUCGUCAAAUUUGCGUAUAGGGGGCGAAAAGACUAAUCGGAACCUAUCUAGUAGCCUGGUUCCUGCCGA
rnacentral:rRNA from 1 species